AGUGAACGCUGGCGGUAGGCCUAACACAUGCAAGUCGAACGGCAGCACAGUAAGAGCUUGCUCUUACGGGUGGCGAGUGGCGGACGGGUGAGGAAUACAUCGGAAUCUACUUUUUCGUGGGGGAUAACGUAGGGAAACUUACGCUAAUACCGCAUACGACCUACGGGUGAAAGCAGGGGAUCUUCGGACCUUGCGCGAUUGAAUGAGCCGAUGUCGGAUUAGCUAGUUGGAGGGGUAAAGGCCCACCAAGGCGACGAUCCGUAGCUGGUCUGAGAGGAUGAUCGGCCACACUGGAACUGAGACAGGGUCCAGACUCCUACGGGAGGCAGCAGUGGGGAAUAUUGGACAAUGGGCGCAAGCCUGAUCCAGCCAGACCGCGUGGGUGAAGAAGGCCUUCGGGUUGUAAAGCCCUUUUGUUGGGAAAGAAAAGCAGCAGGUUAAUACCCCGCUGUUCUGACGGUACCCAAAGAAUAAGCACCGGCUAACUUCGUG
rnacentral:rRNA from 1 species